UACGUAGGGCGCAAGCGUUGUCCGGAAUUAUUGGGCGUAAAGAGCUCGUAGGCGGUUUGUCGCGUCUGCUGUGAAAACUCGAGGCUCAACCUCGGGCUUGCAGUGGGUACGGGCAGACUAGAGUGCGGUAGGGGUGACUGGAAUUCCUGGUGUAGCGGUGGAAUGCGCAGAUAUCAGGAGGAACACCGAUGGCGAAGGCAGGUCACUGGGCCGCAACUGACGCUGGAGGAGCGGAAAAGCCAUGGGGAGCGAACAGG
rnacentral:rRNA from 1 species